rnacentral:rRNA from 1 species
AUUGAACGCUGGCGGCAGGCCUAACACAUGCAAGUCGAGCGAGAGGCGGACGGGUGAGAAAUGUCUGGGAAAAUGCCCGAUGGAGGGGGAUAAAUACUGGAAACGGGAGCGAAUACCGCAUACCAUCAGAUGUGCCCAGAUGGGAUUAGCGAGUAGGUGGGGUAAUGGCUCACCUAGGCGACGAUCCCUAGCUGGUCUGAGAGGAUGACCAGCCACACUGGAACUGAGACACGGUCCAGACUCCUACGGGAGGCAGCAGUGGGGAAUAGUGCACAAUGGGCGCAAGCCUGAUGCAGCCAUGCCGCGUGUGUGAAGAAGGCCUUCGGGUUGUAAAGCACUUUCAGCGAGGAGGCGUUACCCGCAGAAGAAGCACCGGCUAACUCCGUGCCAGCAGCCGCGGUAAUUC